ACUAUACUGACUGAUAGGAUUUUGCUUUGAAUUAAGUUUUCUUCUAAUUGGUCCCAUAAAAGAAACACAUCCUGGUGAGGAAUAUCCCUCCACCAAGGCAGAUGGACACCUUCUCAGUAUCUUAGUCUUAGAUAGCUGCUUAGAGCAUUGAGAGGGUUAAGUAUGUGUAACAGAGAAUGACAUGACAAUGCUAGUAGGCAAAGUAUCCUCUGGAGCAGUUUAUAUAGCACCCCUGACAGCUCAUGGCAUUGGUGAUAGCAUCAUUUCUAGGACACGAUGAUUCAGGGACCGUAUCACCUUUGUUAUACUUGCAACUUGGCAUAGCAGCUCUUGAAGACAAUCCAUUGAAUUAUGGAGCAGUUGUAAAAUGAGUCAGCAGAGGGAAUCUACCCACAAAAUGGCAGAUCCCUGGAUUACUUUUGCAUUUGUCUUCUUGGACAAGAUCAAGUAAGAUCACUAACGGUAUCUCAGCAGUUGCACCUGUCAAGUCAUUCAGUAGAUAGCACAGUGGAUAGAACGCUGGGCCUGGAGUCCAGAAGAAUUCCAUUCAAACCACCUGAACAUCCCUCAAAAAUGGGUAGCUCUCAGAUUCAGGACUUUGACAAAGUGUGAAAUGCUGCAGAUCAUUACUGAGAGCUUCAGUGGAUGAGAGAGAAGGAAUUCUCAUUUGUGAAU